UAGCCUAGUGGUUAAGGCUAUGGAUCGCCAAUCCGGAGACGGCGGGUUCGUUUCCCGU
rfam:Aedes albopictus isolate Foshan contig93379, whole genome shotgun sequence.